rnacentral:rRNA from 1 species
GAUGAACGCUGGCGGCGUGCCUAAUACAUGCAAGUCGAGCGAACAGAUGAGGAGCUUGCUCCUCUGACGUUAGCGGCGGACGGGUGAGUAACACGUGGAUAACCUACCUAUAAGACUGGGAUAACUUCGGGAAACCGGAGCUAAUACCGGAUAAUAUAUUGAACCGCAUGGUUCAAUAGUGAAAGACGGUUUUGCUGUCACUUAUAGAUGGAUCCGCGCCGCAUUAGCUAGUUGGUAAGGUAACGGCUUACCAAGGCAACGAUGCGUAGCCGACCUGAGAGGUGAAUCGGCCACCUUGAAACUGGGCCAGGGCCCAAAUCCUGAGGGGGGGAAGAGGUGGGGAAUCUUCGGCAAGGGGGGAAAGCUUGACGGGGCAACGCCGGGGGGGUGAUGAAGGCUUCCGGAUCGUAAAACCUUUUUUUUAGGAAAAAAAAAAUGUGUAGGUAACAAUGCACGUUUGGACGGAACUAAUGCAAAAAGCCAGGGUAAAUUACGU